rnacentral:misc_RNA from 1 species
AGAUGAUGUGCAAAGAGGACAGGUGAUUGCUAAACCUGGAACAGUGAAAACAUACCGGAAGUUUGAAGCAGAGAUAUAUGUCCUCACAAAGGAUGAAGGUGGACGUCAUACUGCUUUCUUUUCCAACUACAGGCCACAGUUUUACAUGAGGACAGCAGAUAUCACUGGGAAAGUGGAGUUGCCUGAAAAUGUUAAGAUGGUUAUGCCUGGGGACAAUGUGACUGCAACUUUUGAACUGAUCUUACCUGUUCCCCUUGAAGCGGGACAAAGAUUUGCCUUGAGGGAGGGAGGUAGAACAGUUGGAGCAGGUGUGGUCUCAAAAGUGAUUAGCUGAGUUGUUUUAAUGGNNNNCGGAUCUUUUAUGCGUUGUCUCCUUGUUUGUUGAAAGAGCUCUAGGUAAAAAGACCUGAUUGUUAUUUGAUGGAAAAAAGAAAAUGCCAUUUGAUCAUUUUCUUACAUAUUCUGCAUUUGAUGCAAUGUUGAUUCUAGGCGUUAAAGAGAUUGUUAGUGAUGUAGUGAUGGCAAAAUGAGUUAAUUUGAGAGAAUUGUCGUCUUCCAUACCUCAUCCAUAGCAUAAAAUUGAUCAACAUACCUUGAUCUUUUACCCCCAGUAGGCUUCUGUGG